rnacentral:rRNA from 1 species
CAGCCGCCGCGGUAAUACGGAGGGGGCUAGCGUUGUUCGGAAUUACUGGGCGUAAAGCGCACGUAGGCGGCUUUGUAAGUCAGAGGUGAAAGCCCGGGGCUCAACCCCGGAAUUGCCUUUGAGACUGCAUCGCUUGAAUCCAGGAGAGGUGAGUGGAAUUCCGAGUGUAGAGGUGAAAUUCGUAGAUAUUCGGAAGAACACCAGUGGCGAAGGCGGCUCACUGGACUGGUAUUGACGCUGAGGUGCGAAAGCGUGGGGAGCAAACAGGAUUAGAUACCCGAGUAGUCCCUGUCUCUUAUAC